rnacentral:sRNA from 1 species
GUGGAACUUGAGUCAUGUCUCCCAGAUUUUGUGACACAACCCCGAAUCAGAGCUCCAAAACCUAAAGUCGUUACCACCAAAGCUGGUUUUCUGAAGAGGGCAGCAAGGUUGGAUUAUGAGUUGGCAGAGGUUCAUAAGGCACUAUUGGAUAAGAAGAAUAAAGUUCUUGAAGCAAAGAAACCCCCUCGCUUCCUUCAAAGAAACCCAAUACCUCAACCUCGGCUUCCAACUCCAACCUUGGAAAUGACGUCCAAUGAAGAAGAAGAAAUAGAAAUGGCUGUGAUCUACCUUCAAAAGUUACUCCGGGGCAGAGUCGUUCAGAACAUGGUGUGUAGGUCCAACCACUGGCCCUGCAUUUCUCUUUUGAGAAAAUUGUUUA